rnacentral:misc_RNA from 1 species
GGUUUUAUGUUCCACCCCGCCCAUAUUACAUCAUUCAUCUUCUCCCUCUUCUCAUCUGUUUUCAACAUUGAGCUUAUCAACUUAGGCAUCCCCAACCAAAACAAGUUGGGCGACCGAACUGGAACCACAAUAUUUGUCCCAGAACCAUCACUGUUAGCAAACGCUGAAGAAACUGGUAACAACAACACUACUGAAUCCUUCAAAGACUUUAACGAAACACCAUAGUCCGAAGCGUUAUUU